CAGUCGCCGCGGUAAUACGUAGGGGGCAAGCGUUGUCCGGAAUCAUUGGGCGUAAAGCGCGUGUAGGCGGCUCGAUAAGUCUGCUGUGAAAGUUCAGGGCUCAACCCUGAAAUGCCGGUGGAAACUGUCGAGCUUGAGUCCGGAAGAGGCAAGUGGAAUUCCUGGUGUAGCGGUGAAAUGCGCAGAUAUCAGGAGGAACACCAAUGGCGAAGGCAGCUUGCUGGGACGGUACUGACGCUGAGACGCGAAAGCGUGGGGAGCAAACAGGAUUAGAUACCCCUGUAGUCCCUGUCUCUUAUAA
rnacentral:rRNA from 1 species